GACAAGCUCAUCUGACAGCAAGAAGUU
rnacentral:piRNA from 1 species